rnacentral:rRNA from 1 species
GACGAACGCUGGCGGCGUGCUUAACACAUGCAAGUCGAACGAUGAACCGGAGCUUGCUCUGGGGAUUAGUGGCGAACGGGUGAGUAACACGUGGGCAACCUGCCCCAGACACCGGGAUAACCAUUCGAAAGGAUGGCUAAUACCGGAUACGACCACUUCGGGCAUCCGAUGGUGGUGGAAAGGAUUCUGGUCUGGGAUGGGCCCGCGGCCUAUCAGCUUGUUGGUGGGGUACUGGCCUACCAAGGCGACGACGGGUAGCAGGCCUGAGAGGGCGUCCGGCCACACUGGGACUGAGACACGGCCCAGACUCCUACGGGAGGCAGCAGUGGGGAAUAUUGAGCAAUGGGCGAAAGCCUGACGCAGCGACGCCGCGUGAGGGACGAAGGUCUUCGGAUUGUAAACCUCUUUCAGCAGGGAUGAAGCGAAAGUGACAGUACCUGCAGAAGAAGCACCGGCUAACUACGUGCCAGCCGCCGCCGUAAAAC